GGCCUGAUGGUGAAGUGGUAACACGACGGUCUGCAAAACCGUUAUGCGUGGGUUCGAUUCCCACUCAGGCCU
rnacentral:tRNA from 1 species